ensembl:snRNA U6 U6 spliceosomal RNA
GUGCUUGUUUUGGCAGCAUAUACAAUAAAAUUAGAAUGAAACAGAUGAGUAUGACCCCUGCACAGGUAGUCAUGCAAAUUUAUAGUCCUCCAUAUUUCA